UAACUAGGAUUAGAUACCCUAUUAUACCAGUUUUAGAAAGUUUUACUUGGGUAGUAAUGAGUUAAGAGCUUGAAAUCUAAAAAAUUUGGCGGUACUUUAGUCUGUUUAGAGGAACCUGUUCUAUGAACGAUAAACCACGCAAUAUCUUACUUUACUUUGUUUUAGUUUGUAUACCGCCAUAAUUUGGUCUUGUUUUAAAACAUAUCCCAGAGUAGAUAAAUACCUAGAACAUUAGGUCAAGGUGCAGCUUAUAGUAAAGUAGUUAAUGGGUUACAAUAUAACUUAUAUAAACCGGAAAGAGGUUUGAAAUAGUCUCUGUAAGGUGGAUUUAAUAGUAAUGGUGAAUUUACUAUGAUACUGUGAAUUUGCUCUAAGGUAUGUACACAUCGCCCGCUCUA
rnacentral:rRNA from 1 species